GGCAGGAGUUACAACGUCCUUGGGCUGAAGUGAGUAAGCACCCUAACACAACUUUUAACUGGCUUUCUGCUAGCACUAGGCUAAUGCAGAUCACCUGUUAGAACGACUCACACGCACACCCUCAACAAGUGGCCGAGAGCGGCGACGCGGUUCCCUGUCACUUGUCCUAGGGCGGCAGGUGAAGGCGGUGAACGCCCAUCCACACCCAUCGGCCGGCCACGGCAGAGGCGGCAAACAGCCCCGGGACGCUCCGUUAUCCUCACCCUCCCGGACCCGCCAGAAUUCAGAAAUGACAUGGGCUUUGGCUGCAGACACCUGGAUGUGGGAUGGAUGAGCAGUUCUUUCCUAAUGCAUGGAGCAGUUCUUCGAGGGGCCUGUCACCAAGGCUGGCUUCAUGGGGCCACCAGAAAGGACAGUUAAUACAAAAGAUCCCAGUUUGACAGAAAUCCAGAGACGGUCAGAAGCCAGCAAACUGAGCACCCAGAAGGUGGCCCUCUCCCUUGGAGCAACCUCAACUUAACAGGUCUUGGGUCCCCAGCUUCCUGAGGGCAGGACCAUUCUGCAGUUGGCCUCCCAUUUUCCAAAGUCACAAGAAGCACUUUUAAUUGGAUGGUGCACCAGUGUUCUCAGCAUUCGGCCUCACACCAAUGAUGUCCUUUCACCUCCCAGCCAGAAGAUGAUAUGGAAACUGUUACUUUCCCCAUUUACAGAUGAGAAAACUGAGGCUUACAAGGGUGAAGUGGUAGUCUGUGCUUGCAUUGGUAGUGCAUGACAAAGACAGGGUUCAAGGUCAUGGUUUGGAACAGAGAGAAUGUCCAAGAUGACUGUCCAGGGGAAAAUGAGAAAGGAUUUUAGAAACUGGAACUUCCUGGAUAAUUUGGGACACAAGGUUGCUGAACUCGAAAUUUGGUAGGAAAAAAAGAGCAGUGGCUUUGGAGUAAAAAUUUGUACUAUCAGUUGUGAUUUGGGCCAAGGAACUUUACCAUUUUGAGCCUCAGUUUCCAUCUCUCCAAAAUGGAUCUGAUAAUCCUUGCAUAGCAUUGCUGGGAACUGACAGAUUUGACCCAGCCAUUUUUUCUAAACCUGAAAAACCCCCAAGCUCCUUCAUGCCUUGGGGCACAUGUCUUGCAAGUGAUUUUCCUGUACCUGGAACCCUCCGCCUUCAGAUGUUCACAGGAAGGCUUGUUUUGUGUCCUCUAAGUCUGAACUCAAACAUGGCUUUCCUCAGGGCAACCUUCUCUACCACCUAGGAGACCUAGCUUCUCUGGGGGCAUCACUAUUUGAUUUUUCUCCUUUGUAUUUAUCAUGAUCUGAAAUUAUCUUAA